rnacentral:rRNA from 1 species
CAAGAGCGUAUAUUAAAGUUGCUGCGGUUAAAAAGCUCGUAGUUGGAUUUCAGUCUAGGAAGGUUAACUCGCCGAAAGGUUGUACGUUGAUUUUCCUCAGACUUCGUCAGAAGCUCGUGCUGCACUUAACUGUGUGGUACGAUGUUCUGACCUUUUACCUUGAGGAAAGUAGAGUGUUUCAGGCAGGCUACCCAGCUUGAAUGCAUUAGCAUGGAAUAAUGAAAUGGAUCUCGGUUCGAUUUCGUUGGUUCUAGAGCUGAGGUGAUGAUCAAUAGGAACAGGCGAAGGUAUUCGUACUUGAGAGUGAGGAGUGAAAUCCGAUGAUCUCUUAAAGACGAUCCGAGGCGAAAGCAUUUGUCAAGGAUGUUUUCAUUGA